GCUGAAAAGAUUUUACUACCACCAGGGAGAGAACUAAAACAGGCAGCAUGCCGGCCCUCCAGGACCCACUUUGGGCUCCCCUGGUCUAUGCAAUAGAAAACCCUGGACAGAGACAAAACCUGAUUUCGACUGGGUUUUAAUUGAGCAAGAAUUUACCUCCCCAUUUACCGUUGUUGAGGUACUAACCCAAUGGGAAUAGGCUGAAUAACCCAGUUUUCUUGUUCUCAAAGAAGACGUGGCAAGAGGUACACAAGAAAUGUAAUAUAUCCCCAUAUUUCCAAAAAUCUAAUUUUUUGUCAGGGGGCCCAAGAUUCCUGGCAGCGCCCCUGCCUCUACCUAUCAAAUUAUGGGCAAGAAUAUUUUUAUUCACAAACCAAAUACGCCAAAUAAUACCUAUGUUUUUUUGUGAAUAAAAACAUAGGUCUGAUGUUGACGUUAGAAAAACUGUUUCUAUUUAUAUUUUCGUAAUUGUCCUCACAAUAGCGGGAAAAAAUCCGCCUUGCUCCUAAACACAGAAAUGCUUCAGCUGUGAGAAAACUUCUGACUUUAACUUCAUCAGGCUGCUAAAAGCCCGGUUCGCUACAGGCGGUCCGAGUCGGUCCCACCGGCAGAUAGAAAGAAUGUCUUUAUAUCAGACAUCCUGAUAUAACACAUGAUACUGCAACUGCAACCGCGAGUUGCGAUGCACCUCAAAGCCCCGGUACCACCACCCGGUACACCUGCUCUCUGUUCGCUCUGUUUCUCCUUAACGUUUCUACCAGGCUGCUGACACGAUCUGGGCUGGAGGUGAGCAGCUGUAAAUAGAAGUUAUUGCAGAACCUCAAGUGUUUAAGGAAGAUUCGGCCCAUAGCAACUGGAGUUCACAAAACAAACAUCAGCAAAAAUACUGUAGCAAUAACUAAAACCGCAGCACAAAGCCAAACAUGCCACAAUCAAAUGAAUCAAAAUGUCCCCAAAGCAUCGGCGGACUGGCAAGGGGCCACCGGAGGAUUCCAGGUAGAUUCCAGGUAGAUUCCAGGUAGAUUCAGAGAUGCCCAUCGCAGCGACUGUUCAUGCAGGGCCGGACCAAGGUAAUAUGGGGCCUUAGACAGAACUCCCCUCUCCUCAAAACCCCUCCUACUAAGAACCUCAGCAUCACUAACAUGUUUAAAUACAGAUAAGGUGAAGUCUGUGAAAGGGAGACCAGGUUUAUUGGCCGAGUUUAAAAUCAGUCACUGAUUAUUGGUUAUUUGCUGUGAUGUAUUUGUGAACAAACCAGCUCAAACAC